rnacentral:rRNA from 1 species
UGGGGAAUAUUGCACAAUGGGCGAAAGCCUGAUGCAGCAACGCCGCGUGAGUGAUGAAGGUCUUCGGAUUGUAAAGCUCUGUCUUUUGGGACGAUAAUGACGGUACCAAAGGAGGAAGCCACGGCUAACUACGUGCCAGCAGCCGCGGUAAUACGUAGGUGGCGAGCGUUGUCCGGAUUUACUGGGCGUAAAGGGUGCGUAGGCGGAUGUUUAAGUGAGAUGUGAAAUACCCGGGCUUAACUUGGGUGCUGCAUUUCAAACUGGAUAUCUAGAGUGCAGGAGAGGAGAAUGGAAUUCCUAGUGUAGCGGUGAAAUGCGUAGAGAUUAGGAAGAACACCAGUGGCGAAGGCGAUUCUCUGGACUGUAACUGACGCUGAGGCACGAAAGCGUGGGCAGCAAACAGGAUUAGAUACCCUGGUAGUCCACGCCGUAAACGAUGAGUACUAGGUGUAGGAGGUAUCGACCCCUUCUGUGCCGCAGUAAACACAUUAAGUACUCCGCCUGGGAAGUACGAUCGCAAGAUUAAAACUCUAAAGUGAAUUGAC